rnacentral:rRNA from 1 species
AGAGUUUGAUCCUGGCUCAGGAUGAACGCUGGCGGCGUGCCUAAUACAUGCAAGUCGAGCGAACGGACGAGAAGCUUGCUUCUCUGAUGUUAGCGGCGGACGGGUGAGUAACACGUGGAUAACCUACCUAUAAGACUGGGAUAACUUCGGGAAACCGGAGCUAAUACCGGAUAAUAUUUUGAACCGCAUGGUUCAAAAGUGAAAGACGGUCUUGCUGUCACUUAUAGAUGGAUCCGCGCUGCAUUAGCUAGUUGGUAAGGUAACGGCUUACCAAGGCAACGAUGCAUAGCCGACCUGAGAGGGUGAUCGGCCACACUGGAACUGAGACACGGUCCAGACUCCUACGGGAGGCAGCAGUAGGGAAUCUUCCGCAAUGGGCGAAAGCCUGACGGAGCAACGCCGCGUGAGUGAUGAAGGUCUUCGGAUCGUAAAACUCUGUUAUUAGGGAAGAACAUAUGUGUAAGUAACUGUGCACAUCUUGACGGUACCUAAUCAGAAAGCCACGGCUAACUACGUGCCAGCAGCCGCGGUAAUACGUAGGUGGCAAGCGUUAUCCGGAAUUAUUGGGCGUAAAGCGCGCGUAGGCGGUUUUUUAAGUCUGAUGUGAAAGCCCACGGCUCAACCGUGGAGGGUCAUUGGAAACUGGGAAACUUGAGUGCAGAAGAGGAAAGUGGAAUUCCAUGUGUAGCGGUGAAAUGCGCAGAGAUAUGGAGGAACACCAGUGGCGAAGGCGACUUUCUGGUCUGUAACUGACGCUGAUGUGCGAAAGCGUGGGGAUCAAACAGGAUUAGAUACCCUGGUAGUCCACGCCGUAAACGAUGAGUGCUAAGUGUUAGGGGGUUUCCGCCCCUUAGUGCUGCAGCUAACGCAUUAAGCACUCCGCCUGGGGAGUACGACCGCAAGGUUGAAACUCAAAGGAAUUGACGGGGACCCGCACAAGCGGUGGAGCAUGUGGUUUAAUUCGAAGCAACGCGAAGAACCUUACCAAAUCUUGACAUCCUUUGACAACUCUAGAGAUAGAGCCUUCCCCUUCGGGGGACAAAGUGACAGGUGGUGCAUGGUUGUCGUCAGCUCGUGUCGUGAGAUGUUGGGUUAAGUCCCGCAACGAGCGCAACCCUUAAGCUUAGUUGCCAUCAUUAAGUUGGGCACUCUAAGUUGACUGCCGGUGACAAACCGGAGGAAGGUGGGGAUGACGUCAAAUCAUCAUGCCCCUUAUGAUUUGGGCUACACACGUGCUACAAUGGACAAUACAAAGGGCAGCGAAACCGCGAGGUCAAGCAAAUCCCAUAAAGUUGUUCUCAGUUCGGAUUGUAGUCUGCAACUCGACUACAUGAAGCUGGAAUCGCUAGUAAUCGUAGAUCAGCAUGCUACGGUGAAUACGUUCCCGGGUCUUGUACACACCGCCCGUCACACCACGAGAGUUUGUAACACCCGAAGCCGGUGGAGUAACCUUUUAGGAGCUAGCCGUCGAAGGUGGGACAAAUGAUUGGGGUGAAGUCGUAACAAGGUAGCCGUAUCGGAAGGUGCGGCUGGAUCACCU